UUGCGAGUUAUAUACAUGUUAUAUGUAAAAAAAAUAUGUAGAUGUGUAUGUAUAUGUAUAUAUAUGUUAUAUAUAUGUUAUAUGUAUAUAUAUGUGUGUGUAUGUCUGUGUGUGUGCAUGGAUACAAGGAUACACGCCCCCCCCGGGACUAUCACCCUUGUUAUGUCAUCACCGCCAUCACCGCCACCAUUAUCAGAUGAGGCCUCUAGGCUAGUUGGCCCAACUCGCGGUCACCCCCCACUCCACCAAGACCUCUAUCCUGGUCGGCGCCGUUGGCGUGCUUGUGUAAAACCUGCACACUUAGUGUCGUUCGCUGGCCGAACCUAGUGCACUGCGACUUCGUGCUAUAUACUACUAGUUGCUUUCCGUUAUUG
rnacentral:lncRNA from 1 species